AACGUAGGACGCAAACGUUAUCCGGAAUUACUGGGCGUAAAGGGCGCGCAGGCGGAUCGAUAAGUGAGGCAUGAAAGCUUCGGGCUAAACCUGGAGAGGCUGUCUGAGACUGUCGAUCUGGAGUGCGAUAGAGGGGUGUAGAAUUCCGCGUGUAGUGGAGAAAUGAGUAGAGAUGCGGAGGAAUACCAGAGGCGAAGGCGGCACCCUGGAUCGUAACUGACGUUGAGGCGCGAAAGCAUGGGGAGCGAACGGG
rnacentral:rRNA from 1 species